rnacentral:rRNA from 1 species
UACAGAGGGGGGCAAGCGUUAUUCGGAAUUACUGGGCGUAAAGGGCGCGUAGGCGGCCUGUUAAGUCGAACGUGAAAUCCCCGGGCUCAACCCGGGAACUGCGUCCGAUACUGGCAGGCUUGAAUCCGGGAGAGGGAUGCGGAAUUCCAGGUGUAGCGGUGAAAUUCGUAGAUAUUAGGAAGAACACCAGUGGCGAAGGCGGCUCACUGGCCCGGUACUGACGCUGAGGUGCGAAAGCGUGGGGAGCAAACAGGG